rnacentral:rRNA from 1 species
UAAGGAAUAUUGGACAAUGCCCGCAAGGGUGAUCCAGCCAUGCCGCGCGCAGGAAGACGGCCCUAUGGGUUGUAAACUGCUUUUACACCGGAGAAAACCUCCCCUCGUGAGGGGAGCUGAUAGUAUGGUGAGAAUAAGCAUCGGCUAACUUCGUGCCAGCAGCCGCGGUAAGACGAAGGAUGCAAGCGUUAUCCGGAUUCAUUGGGUUUAAAGGGAGCGUAGGUGGCCAUAUAAGUCAGUGGUGAAAUCUCUGGGCGUAACCCAGAAAUUGCCAUUGAUACUGUAGGGCUUGAGUACAUUUGCUGUGGGCGGAAUAUGACAUGUAGUGGUGAAAUACAUAGAGAUGUCAUAGAACACCGAUAGCGGAGGCGGCCCCCCAGGCCGCCACUGACGCUUAGGCACGAAAGUGCAUGGAUCAAACA